rnacentral:rRNA from 1 species
UACGUAGGUGGCAAGCGUUGUCCGGAUUUACUGGGCGUAAAGGGCGUGCAGGCGGUUUGUUAAGUGCAGGGUGAAAGCUCCCGGCUCAACCUGGGAAUGGCAUUGGAAACUGGCGGGCUUGAGUGUGGCAGAGGGGGGUGGAAUUCCGCGUGUAGCAGUGAAAUGCGUAGAGAUGCGGAGGAACACCGAUGGCGAAGGCAGCCCCCUGGGCUAACACUGACGCUCAGGCACGAAAGCGUGGGGAGCAAACAGG